UACGGAGGGGGCUAGCGUUGUUCGGAAUUACUGGGCGUAAAGCGCACGUAGGCGGCUUUGUAAGUUAGAGGUGAAAGCCCGGGGCUCACCCCCGGAAGUGCAUUGGAUACUGGCGGACUCGAGUCCCGGAGAGGAGGGUGGAAUUCCUGGUGUAGCGGUGAAAUGCGUAGAUAUCAGGAGGAACACCGGUGGCGAAGGCGGCCCUCUGGACGGUGACUGACGCUGAGACGCGAAAGCGUGGGGAGCAAACAGG
rnacentral:rRNA from 1 species